UUCCAAAGCAAAUUAUAAUUUUAGGAAGAAAAAAUAUCACUGAAUCACAGUUUCUCUAAGCCUCAGGGUAAUAAUUUUUCCUGUAAUAGUUAGAAACUCAAACCAUGUAUGGAUUGCAUAAAUUUUGAAUGCUUUGUUCUAUAAAAACAUGGUCCUUCAUGAAUAAUGGAGAAGCAAAGGAGAGAGAGAAGAAUCCAAGUAAAACAACACUUUUCUGGAUUCUGAGAAAAUUCCAGAUAGAGAACAAAAACCUUGCCAGCAUGUUCCACUUCAUAAACAACGAAACUAAGGUUGUUCUACUCAUUCUCUAAAUACAGGUUUAGAUGAGACUUGUUGGACUCAGUUCUUUCCUCCACCCAUGGCCUCUACUUGGGGAGCGGUCAAAUGUGGAAUUUCGAAUAUCAAAUACGUAUAAAAUAAAUAGAUGAAAGAGUACAUCUCAAAAGGGACCGGAGGGGAUUGAUUUUUUGUUUUGACUUAUUGUUUGAAGAUCUGUAACUCAAAGCAGCUCUCACGCCUCUGAUGUCUAAGCUGGAGCAGCAUAAAAGGAAGGGAAAAAUAAUCUCUUGAAGAACCUGGAGGGUCCGUAUGCUCCUUACUGAAAAGAAAAGAAAACUGCCUCAGAGUGAAGAACAAAGCUGGCCCCAGGCACAUGCUAAAGAAACUGUUCUUAUAUUUGGAGCUGAGUUUAAACUGCUCUCCCGUCUUCCCCAAGUCAAAUGAACAGCUUAUCAAGGAGAUCCCCCUGGGAAUUGGCAGAGUUCUGCCAUCAAGAUCUACAAUCAUAUGUCAAUAAUUGGAUGGUGCCCAAUUUUCAACAUGCUCGUGAAAGACUGAGAACUGUCUCAGAUAGCACAGAGCCUUCUUUUCAAGGGGUUUCAUCACUUGCACACACAGUACAUCUUUGGUUUAAAAUAGCAAGUGCCCUAGUGCAGACAUCUAAUCUAGAGAGAAGGAAGAGAGCAGAAUUCCCACACAGCUGCUGGAGGGCAGGGCCACAGGAGGGGUGAACAGGAGAUGCCACAAGGUCACCAUGAAGCACGACCUCAAAUGAUGUCAUUUAGCUGGGCCACACAAGGGUGAAACACAGCCUCAGCCCAUAGCUCAGUGUGCAGCAAACCCAGGUGAUUCUGAGCAAUCUGCAAGUAAUCUGUACAGCAAAGAAUCGACCCAACCAGCCAAAAAAAAAAGAAGAGUAUCCUCAUGAAUACUGCAUAAUCUGCAGGUCUCAUAAAAAACUUUCAUAUGAAACAUCAACAGCCACACUUUCAGAAGUAUCUUAUCGGAACAAAUAGGAAUAGAGUUCCCGUUUACUUUCCCCAGCCAUCAAUCUAGAAUAGUUGGUUAUCCCACAUCAUACAAAGAAUACAUAGCAUUAUCCACUGGGGUGCAGCAGGAAGAAAAUACUACAAUGUCAGUACAUAUUUUUAUAUGAAAAAUUUUAAGUUUUACCAGAAAUAUUUAACAUACAAAUUGCCACUGGGGCCCCCGUUUGCUCUGUAUGCCAGAUGGUCAAGAAUGCCAAGUGGACUGAAGAUAACAGUAAUAAUGUAAGCACAAAAAACAGCAAGAAAAUGGCAAAGCCAACAGUUCUACCUCUAAUAUCAACCCUUUAAGAGCUUGCAUUAAAGCUAAAAUCUGUAAUGACACUGGACAAGACUUGUCAAGAAGCUGACCAAAACAAUGAGAAAUUAUCAAUUUUAUUUGAAAUAACAGCCAUCAGAUAAUUAUACAGUUCAGGUAUAUAAUUCAUAAAUAAUUAUACAGUGGGCAAAAUUUUUAAUUGAUGAGGGCUUGCAGUAAAAUAAUUCUCACCAUGGAUUUAGAUAUCUGAAAUAUCAAUUGAUUUCACUUUUCUUCCUCUCAAUACGGAUUAAAUCAACUCCUUUCCUCACUGUACUGAUCUAACCUUCUGGAAGCAAGAUGGAGCCAUGGAAGCCAGAGUGGAAAAGAAAUGAAGCUGUGAUACUCACUGUGACAUGAAUGAACCCUGAAUACAUUACACUCAGUGAAAGAAGCCAAUCACAAAGGACUACACCCUAUAUGUGCCUAUGAUUCUAUUCUUAUGAAAUGUCUCAAAUAGGGAAAUAUGUUGAGACAAAAUAGGUUAGUAGUUGCUUAGGCCUGGGGUGAGCACUGAGGGAAUGAGAGAUAAGGGGAUAAUAGCUAAAGGCUAUGGGGUUACUUUCCGAGGUGAUGAAAAUGUCCUAAAACUGACUGUGAUGAUGGCUGCACUAACUAUGUGAAUAUACUAAAAACCACUACACUAUACACUCAAAGUGGGUAAAAUGUAUGCUAUGUGAAUUAUAUCGCAAUAAAAAUGAAACUAUUUU